UAACUGUUGGGGAUUUAUAAAGAUCUUUUUACCUUAACUCCUGGAGCCCAUUUAGACCAAGGAAAUACCUCCCCAUUAGCAAGGGGAUAAUGCAGUAAGAAGGCCCUUACCAGACCCUGAUACCUCAACGUUGGAUUUCCCAGUCUCCAGAACGCUGGAAUCCAGAGAGACUGUCUUUGAAUUCCUCAGGCUAGUCCACCCCUGCAAGGUAACCAUCCUCCCCUCUGGUUGUAGCAGGCAAAUUCUGCCCUCAGUUUAUUUCCUUCUUCCUACCACCUUGAAUCUCACUUUCCUUUCUCUUUCCCAUUCUACCUACAUCAUGGUAUUUUUCUUUUUUC
rnacentral:lncRNA from 1 species